rnacentral:rRNA from 1 species
CACGUAGGAUCCAAGCGUUAUCCGAAUUUACUGGGCGUAAAGCGCGUGUAGGCGGUUUGGUAAGUUGGAUGUGAAAGCUCCCGGCUCAAUUGGGAGAGGCCGUUCAAAACUGCCAGACUUGAGGACGGUAGAGGGAAGUGGAAUUCCCGGUGUAGUAGUGAAAUGCGUAGAUAUCGGGAGGAACACCAGUGGCGAAAGCGGCUUCCUGGACCGUUUCUGACGCUCAGACGCGAAAGCUAGGGGAGCGAACGGG